AGGUUGCCAUCACAGGCUGGAUCACAGAUAUUUUGAUUUUGCCACUACGGAUUGGAUCACAGAUAUUCUAAAUUUGCUACCACAGGCUGGAUCGUGGAUAUUCUAAAAUUGCCACUAUAGGCUAGAGCAGUGGUUUGCCAGUGGACUGGAGCAUGGUUAUUAUGAAUUGCCACUACGAGUUAAAGUAUGGCUAUUAUUAUGGAUUGCCACCG
rnacentral:lncRNA from 1 species